rnacentral:rRNA from 1 species
GUACACUCCUACGGGAGUCAGCAGUGGGGAAUAUUGGACAAUGGGCGCAAGCCUGAUCCAGCCAUGCCGCGUGAGUGAUGAAGGCCCUAGGGUUGUAAAGCUCUUUCACCGGUGAAGAUAAUGACGGUAACCGGAGAAGAAGCCCCGGCUAACUUCGUGCCAGCAGCCGCGGUAAUACGAAGGGGGCUAGCGUUGUUCGGAUUUACUGGGCGUAAAGCGCACGUAGGCGGACUAUUAAGUCAGGGGUGAAAUCCCGGGGCUCAACCCCGGAACUGCCUUUGAUACUGGUAGUCUUGAGUUCGAGAGAGGUGAGUGGAAUUCCGAGUGUAGAGGUGAAAUUCGUAGAUAUUCGGAGGAACACCAGUGGCGAAGGCGGCUCACUGGCUCGAUACUGACGCUGAGGUGCGAAAGCGUGGGGAGCAAACAGGAUUAGAAACCCUGGUAGUCCC